AACCCACGGUGAGGGACCCUUCUUAAUAAAUCCUUAUACCUCUCCCAUGCAUCAUAUAGGGUCCCUAAAUCCAUUUGCAAGAAGGAAGAGAUAUCAUUCCUUAACUU
rnacentral:snoRNA from 2 species